rnacentral:rRNA from 1 species
GGUUAAGUGACUAAGCGUACACGGUGGAUGCCUGGGCAGUCAGAGGCGAUGAAGGACGUACUAACUUGCGAUAAGCGCAGAUAAGGCAGUAAGAGCCGUUUGAGUCUGCGAUUUCCGAAUGGGGAAACCCAACUGCAUAAGCAGUUACUGUUAACUGAAUACAUAGGUUAACAGAGCAAACCGGGGGAACUGAAACAUCUAAGUACCCCGAGGAGAAGAAAUCAACCGAGAUUCCGGUAGUAGCGGCGAGCGAACCUGGAUUAGCCCUUAAGCACUCGGUGAAGUAGGUGAACAAGCUGGAAAGCUUGGCGAUACAGGGUGAUAGCCCCGUAACCGACGCUUCAUCGAGCGUGAAAUCGAGUAGGGCGGGACACGUGAUAUCCUGUCUGAAUAUGGGGGGACCAUCCUCCAAGGCUAAAUACUCCUGACUGACCGAUAGUGAACCAGUACCGUGAGGGAAAGGCGAAAAGAACCCCUGUGAGGGGAGUGAAAUAGAACCUGAAACCGUGUACGUACAAGCAGUAGGAGCACCUUCGUGGUGUGACUGCGUACCUUUUGUAUAAUGGGUCAGCGACUUAUAUUCAGUGGCAAGGUUAACCGUAUAGGGGAGCCGUAGCGAAAGCGAGUCUUAACUGGGCGCUCAGUCU